rnacentral:rRNA from 1 species
UAGCCAUGCUAGUCGCACGAGUUCAGACUCGUGGCGAAUAGCUCAGUAACACGUGGCCAAACUACCCUUCGGAACACGAUACCCUCGGGAAACUGAGGCUAAUAGUGUAUACCACAUCACCACUGGAAUGAGUGAUGUGCCAAACGCUCCGGCGCCGAAGGAUGUGGCUGCGGCCGAUUAGGUAGACGGUGGGGUAACGGCCCACCGUGCCAAUAAUCGGUACGGGUCAUGAGAGUGAGAACCCGGAGACGGAAUCUGAGACAAGAUUCCGGGCCCUACGGGGCGCAGCAGGCGCGAAACCUUUACACUGCACGACAGUGCGAUAGGGGGAUCCCAAGUGCACAGGCAUAGCGCCUGUGCUUUUCGGUACCGUAAGGUGGUACCAGAAUAAGGGCUGGGCAAGACCGGUGCCAGCCGCCGCGGUAAUACCGGCAGCCCAAGUGAUGGCCGAUCUUAUUGGGCCUAAAGCGUCCGUAGCUGGCCGCGCAAGUCCAUCGGGAAAUCCACCUGCUCAACAGGUGGGCGCCCGGUAGAAACUGCGUGGCUUGGGACCGGAAGGCGCGACGGGUACGUCCGGGGUAGGAGUGAAAUCCCGUAAUCCUGGACGGACCGCC